CGCCUGCUGCUACUACCUGCACCGCUCGCCUGCUCCUGCCGCCUGCGCCGCGGCCACUCGCUCGGCCCCGCACGCCUGCGGCCGCCCGCGCCGCGGCCGCACAGCGGGCCCAGGCACCUUCUGCCGCACACGCCGCUGCAGCCUCGCGGCCGGCUCCGCGCGCCUGCUGCCGACGCAUGCGCCGCUGCAGCCUUGAGGCCAGCUCCCGCACGCGCUGCGGUGGCCGCGCGGCCAGCUCCUUGCUUGUUGCGGCCGCGCGCUUGCUGCUUGCUGCGGCCGCGCGGCCAGCCCCCUUGCUUGCUGCAGCCAAAGCUCCGUGCGCUGGCCAGGCCUCGCCGCGCCUCUGCCCGUCGCCAGUGAGGGCUUCGCUUGCCGUGCCGCACCGCUGCCCGCCGCCGGCGUGGCCUCUGCGCCCGGCGGACCGUGGCCUCAGCGCGCGCCCGCCGCCGCCCAAUUCUUGGCACGACCGUCGAAUUCAUCGCGCCGCCGCUUAAAUUGGUCCUCCACCGCCCAAAUCAUCUGUGCUUCGGGCAGGCAGUCGACGCGCGGAGCAGAUUCGCCGGACGGAGCACGAGACGGAGGAGACGGCGUGGAACUGGAGCCAACUGGUUCGGUCAAGGGAGCGAACUCAUCCCGAAUAUAGAGCGAAUAUUCCAUCAGAGGAAUCGCUCCGCUCCGAAACUCGCAAAGCAAACACGGGACCGGAUGGCUCCGUUCCGCGCCGCUCCUGAACCAAACAGACCCUAGGUUCAACAUGACUUUGAGAAUCCAAGUUUUGGUGAUGCUGCUUUGCAAUUUAACACUACUAGCUGAUACAACAAUCUGUUCGAGCAUCAUGCAUUUUGGUGACCGUUCCUAUCUGACCUCACUUUCAGCGUCAUAGUAGGUAUUGCCGCUGUUCGAAUGGUUUGGCGCAAUUUUAUGGGGAGUUGGGUAACAAACUGCUGUUAACUUGCGAAGAUAGCCAGCUAGGGUGCUUUGUUUUGACUUGCAAGAUGUAUAUAGGUCAUUUUAUAUGCAUAGAUAAUUACUAUACACAUUAAAUUGAGUUUAUGCAUCAUAUUUAUAAUAAUAAAUGUAUUUCAAGUUCUCUGAUGUGCAGCAAAUUAACCGGCCGGCAGUCCUCAAUUUCUGUUUCCCUCUACCAAUCUACGACUUCUUGGUUUGCGCUGCACUCGUGAAGGCAAAAUGUCAUGCUAUAUAGUCCACAAGUUUUAUAGAACUUUAUCUGCGAAGCCAUCUCAACGGGGUGGUGGCGCAGUUGGCUAGCGCGUAGGUCUCAUAGCUGUUGAUGAGUUAUCCUGAGCGAACGCUAUCUCGCUAGCGCCGCGCAUCUGCAACCGCGGAGGUCGUCGCCAAUCCGCCCAGUACAUCGUAGCCUCCGCCGCUGCCAGCAACGAUGCCACCGCCGCUGCGGCCUCACCUCCUCCUCGUCCACUCCCAAACCCUAACUCCUCUCCUCCGGGGAAGGCCCAGCUGCGACACGGCCCUUCACCGGCCCAGGCGGUUCCUCUCCGCGCGCGCCUCCGGCGCACAGCUUGCCGCUAUGGCCGUCGCGACGACGCAGCAACCUGAACUUGGGGUGGAGGAUGCGGUGGUGGGCUUUCUCGCCGGCAGGAGGAAGGCCACCGAGGUAGCCCACGCGUAGGGUGUGGAGAAGUAUUGUUCGGAAAGGGGAUACUGUGGUUGAUGCCACAUGCGGGAAUGGCAACGACACGCUUGCUUUGCUUAAGAUGGUGGCUGAUGAAGAAGGGCAAGGACGUGUGUAUGGGAUGGACAUUCAAGAUUCCGCGAUAGAGAGCACUUCCACUUUUCUGCAAAUGGCCGUUGAUGAUGACCAUCAGGAGGAACUAGUUAAGCUAUUUCCAAUAUGUCAUAGUAGAAUGGAGGAAAUUGUUCCCAAAGAUGCCCCUGUCAGGCUCGUAGCUUUCAACUUGGGCUACCUUCCAAUAGGAGAUAAAACACUAAUCACAGUACCUAGGACAACUGAGCUAGCAUUGCAAGCUGCCAGCAGAAUUCUUAGUUCUGGGAGACUCAUAAGUGUUCUUGUCUACAUUGGGCAUCCAGGCGGAAGGGAUGAACUCGAUGUUGUUGAAUCAUUUGCAUCAAGCCUUCCAAAUGAUUCCUGGGUGAGUUGCAAACUUCAAAUGGUCAAUCGGCCAAUUGCUCCAGUGCUCAUUCUUCUGAACAAGAAAUGACCAGUCUUGGUAGAGCGACACAACGUUAGCUCUUAGGCAAUGUGAGUGACUAGUAACCAUGCUUGCCGAUGGAGCUCACUAAUGAGGAUUCUAAUUUCACCUUGGCAUUGACUGAACUUUGGUUGAGUCUGCUACAUGGGGCACAAAUGCACAAUAUUAGCCAGCUGCCCGGCAUUUGUACAAGCUUUUAGGGGAACUGGGUGUAUUUUGUGCAUAUUUUAAUAUCCAUCUUGAUUUGUGUUGUACUUUUUCAAGGCUUGUAGAAUUCUCCACUUUUGGUUCUGAGAUAUGUUAAUGAACUCCAGAUAAUUCCCUAGCA